GAAGUGAGCCGGAUGGUCGCUGCUGUGGAGGUCUCCGUGACUGAAGCAGGAGAGGAAAGUCCGGGCUUCAUAGGGCAGGGUGCCAGGUAACGCCUGGGCGGUGAAAGCCGACGGAAAGUGCAGCAGAGAGUAGACCGCCUCAUUCGUGAGGUAAGGGUGAAAGGGUGCGGUAAGAGCGCACCGCGUGUCUGGUAACAGUUCACGGCAUGGCAAACCCCACCA
rnacentral:RNase_P_RNA from 1 species